rnacentral:misc_RNA from 1 species
GGGACGAGUAUUAAGAAGAUUAUUUCAUUCUAUUAAUUAUUUAUUUUAAUGAUAAAUGUAGUUGAGCUACGUUGAGUAAUUUUAAUAAUACUAACCAAAGUUCAAUCAAUCUGCUAAGAUAAAAUUCUCAUGGUCGAGUGACCUUUUAGGAUAUUAACUCUCUAUUAUAGCAUCCGCCUGUCCUGUCAUUCAAUGAGCUGAUUUUCCGUGGCAAGCUUUUCACUAAAAAUUCUGUGUCUUGCUUCAAUGGCCUGUUUUUCCCAAUUGGUGAAGCCGGUGACAACGGAGAGUGAAAUAGAUUGCACAGUUGCUCCAGCCACCAAUCCACUCCAAAGACCCUUGCCGUUUAGAUGUAAGACAAAUCCAAGAAAUAGAGCCGCGGGAAUUCCAACCAAAUAAUAUGCUCCAAGGUUCACAUAGGCUCCAAUAUGCUGCCACCCGCUUCCUCUAGCAACUCCUGAUAGUACAGCUUGGGUGCCGUCCAUGAUAAUUGAUAUGCAAAGAACAGGAGUAAUUUCUGCAACAUAAGUGGCCACUUCUUUCUCAUAAGUAAACGUAUAGCCCCAUACAUUACGGACCACAAAUAGAGUUAUACUUGCAAGAACAACCUCAGUGGCAGAAAGAACUAACACAGCAACGAGAGCAAUUUUCGCCGCCUGUGGCCUCCCAGCUCCAAGCUCAUUUGAAACCCGAGUACUUGCUGCAGCACCGAAAGAAUAAGGUAUAUGGUAGUGCACAGAAGUGGUUGUAAAGCAUAUGGAAAGUACAGAAGUUUCUAGCAUCGGAUUUGGCAACAGACCAGAGCUUAGAAUGAUAAGCUCAAAUGACCACCAUUCCAAGCAAACCAUUACAGCAGAUGGGAUGGCAAGGCGGAAGAAGUCCCCUAAAGUCAGGAAAACAUCCGUAGAGAAUGAAGCUCGAGUCUUUUCACAAGCCGAUGAGUACUUCACAUAAAGCAUAAGCAAGAUCACAUUCAACCAAUAGGAUAAACCAAUUGACAAUGCUGCUCCCACAAUCCCUAAAUUCAAUUUGAAUAUAAAAGCCCAACAAAUUGCCACUUGGAAGCAUAAAGAUGCAACUGCAUUUAUAAGCAUUGGUAGGAUUAAACUCUGUGCCUGCAGAUACCGGACAACUGACUGAAGAAUAGCAUAUGGAAAUAGUGUAGGAAUGAGCCAAAUUGCGUAUUUUCCAGCUUCCUUUGCAAUUGAAGGAUCUUGGCCCAUCAAUAUAAGAAGUUUAUCCGUGAAAAUCCACAGAACAGAGACUGGUAUGCAUACCAGAAACAGACAAAUAAUAGCACUAUAAGUAAAAGUUCCAAGUUUUCGAUAUUGUCCUGCUCCAUAGGCCUGCCCACAUAGAGUCUCCAGUGCACUAGACAUUCCAAAAAGGACACUGUAACCGGUAACAUUGCAAAGUGAGGUAGCAAUAGAAGCACUAGAAAGUGAAAGUUCACCAAGGUGACCUAACAUAAUCAUUGGCGAAACGCGCAAAAGGUACUGUGAUACUGUCACCACUAUCAUAGGCAAAGCUAUUCGACUCGCCUCUUUCAACUCUUCAAUAAACACUUUGCGGCUCACCCUCACAUCGUCUUCCUCCAAAUUAAGCAGCAGCGGCUCUUCCAUCGCCAUAAUUUUUUACUUAUUUUCCCAACUCAGAAGCAACC